GGGGGUGCAAUGGUUUCGACGGGGAUUUUGACACAUGAUAAGCGUGGCGAGCCGGGUAAACUCGAUAACUGCCCAACUUAAAAAAUAAACGACAACAACACUGUUGCUAUGGCUGCCUGACCUUACGCGAUUCGCGUAAGAUCAGCAGCGCCGCGGCCUGCGGGCCGCCCGUUCUUCCGAGGAGAACCACGGCCUCGGAACGAGCGUCAAACCAGUGGUGAACCUGCAUCGGCGGUUUCGCUCUUGAACCGAUCAGGAAGAAAAGGGCUACCUUGCGAAGGAGCGUGUCUGUUCGCGCCUUCAAGAGGGAAUUUCAAAUAACAGACUGUCCACGAAGAAAAUCAUGCCGAAGAAUUUUCGGACAUGGGUUCGAUUCCCAUCAUCUCCACCA
rnacentral:tmRNA from 1 species